CAGGGGAGAGGUAAGGUGGGGUGUAUGGCAGGGGAGAGGUGAGGUGAGGUGGUGUGUAUGGCAGGGGAGAGGUGAGGUGGUGUGUAUGGCAGGGGAGAGGUGAGGUGGUGUGUAUGGCAGGGGAGAGGUGAGGUGGUGUGUAUGGCAGGGGAAAGGUGAGGUGGGGUGUAUGGCAGGGGAGAGGUGAGGUGGGGUGUAUGCCAGGGGAAAGGUGAGGUAUACAACACAUUUUCCAAAAAGUAGUAGCAUUAGUCACGUAAACACAGAAAUAAACAAAUGGCACAUUGGAUUCCUAAUUUUAAAAAUAAGUGGUGCUUU
ensembl:lncRNA